GUAAUACGUGAGUAACCUGCCCUUGACUCUGGGAUAAGCCCGGGAAACUGGGUCUAAUACUGGAUGCUACAUGUCACCGCAUGGUGGUGUGUGGAAAGGGUUUACUGGUCUUGGAUGGGCUCACGGCCUAUCAGCUUGUUGGUGAGGUAAUGGCUCACCAAGGCGACGACGGGUAGCCGGCCUGAGAGGGUGACCGGCCACACUGGGACUGAGACACGGCCCAGACUCCUACGGGAGGCAGCAGUGGGGAAUAUUGCACAAUGGGCGAAAGCCUGAUGCAGCGACGCCGCGUGAGGGAUGACGGCCUUCGGGUUGUAAACCUCUUUCAGCAGGGAAGAAGCCACAAGUGACGGUACCUGCAGAAGAAGCGCCGGCUAACUACGUGCCAGCAGCCGCGGUAAUACGUAGGGCGCAAGCGUUGUCCGGAAUUAUUGGGCGUAAAGAGCUCGUAGGCGGUUUGUCGCGUCUGCUGUGAAAGCCCGGGGCUUAACCCCGGGUGUGCAGUGGGUACGGGCAGACUAGAGUGCAGUAGGGGAGACUGGAAUUCCUGGUGUAGCGGUGGAAUGCGCAGAUAUCAGGAGGAACACCGAUGGCGAAGGCAGGUCUCUGGGCUGUUACUGACGCUGAGGAGCGAAAGCAUGGGGAGCGAACAGGAUUAGAUACCCUGGUAGUCCAUGCCGUAAACGUUGGGCACUAGGUGUGGGGGACAUUCCACGUUUUCCGCGCCGUAGCUAACGCAUUAAGUGCCCCGCCUGGGGAGUACGGCCGCAAGGCUAAAACUCAAAGGAAUUGACGGGGGCCCGCACAAGCGGCGGAGCAUGCGGAUUAAUUCGAUGCAACGCGAAGAACCUUACCAAGGCUUGACAUAUACCGGAUCGUUCCAGAGAUGGUUCUUCCCCUUUGGGGUCGGUAUACAGGUGGUGCAUGGUUGUCGUCAGCUCGUGUCGUGA
rnacentral:rRNA from 1 species